rnacentral:rRNA from 1 species
GGGCGUUAAGUUGCAGGGUAUAGACCCGAAACCCGGUGAUCUAGCCAUGGGCAGGUUGAAGGUUGGGUAACACUAACUGGAGGACCGAACCGACUAAUGUUGAAAAAUUAGCGGAUGACCUGUGGCUGGGGGUGAAAGGCCAAUCAAACCGGGAGAUAGCUGGUUCUCCCCGAAAGCUAUUUAGGUAGCGCCUCGUGAAUUCAUCUCCGGGGGUAGAGCACUGUUUCGGCUAGGGGGCCAUCCCGGCUUACCAACCCGAUGCAAACUGCGAAUACCGGAGAAUGUUAUCACGGGAGACACACGGCGGGUGCUAACGUCCGUCGUGAAGAGGGAAACAACCCAGACCGCCAGCUAAGGUCCCAAAGUCAUGGUUAAGUGGGAAACGAUGUGGGAAGGCCCAGACAGCCAGGAUGUUGGCUUAGAAGCAGCCAUCAUUUAAAGAAAGCGUAAUAGCUCACUGGUCGAGUCGGCCUGCGCGGAAGAUGUAACGGGGCUAAACCAUGCACCGAAGCUGCGGCAGCGACACUGUGUGUUGUUGGGUAGGGGAGCGUUCUGUAAGCCUGUGAAGGUGGCCUGUGAGGGUUGCUGGAGGUAUCAGAAGUGCGAAUGCUGACAUAAGUAACGAUAAAGCGGGUGAAAAGCCCGCUCGCCGGAAGACCAAGGGUUCCUGUCCAACGUUAAUCGGGGCAGGGUGAGUCGACCCCUAAGGCGAGGCCGAAAGGCGUAGUCGAUGGGAAACGGGUUAAUAUUCCCGUACUUGGUGUUACUGCGAAGGGGGGACGGAGAAGGCUAUGUUGGCCGGGCGACGGUUGUCCCGGUUUAAGCGUGUAGG